rnacentral:rRNA from 1 species
GGGUUGUGAGGUUAAGCGACUAAGCGUACACGGUGGAUGCCCUGGCAGUCAGAGGCGAUGAAGGGCGUGCUAAUCUGCGAUAAGCGCCGGUAAGGUGAUAUGAACCGUUAUAACCGGCGAUACCCGAAUGGGGAAACCCAGUGUGAUUCGUCACACUAUCAUUAACUGAAUCCAUAGGUUAAUGAGGCGAACCGGGGGAACUGAAACAUCUAAGUACCCCGAGGAAAAGAAAUCAACCGAGAUUCCCCCAGUAGCGGCGAGCGAACGGGGAGGAGCCCAGAGCCUGAAUCAGCAUGUGUGUUAGUGGAAGCGUCUGGAAAGGCGCGCGAUACAGGGUGACAGCCCCGUACACAAAAGCGCAUGUGCUGUGAGCUCGAUGAGUAGGGCGGGACACGUGGUAUCCUGUCUGAAUAUGGGGGGACCAUCCUCCAAGGCUAAAUACUCCUGACUGACCGAUAGUGAACCAGUACCGUGAGGGAAAGGCGAAAAGAACCCCGGCGAGGGGAGUGAAAAAGAACCUGAAACCGUGUACGUACAAGCAGUGGGAGCACCCUUCGGGGUGUGACUGCGUACCUUUUGUAUAAUGGGUCAGCGACUUAUAUUCUGUAGCAAGGUUAACCGUAUAGGGGAGCCGGAGGGAAACCGAGUCUUAACCGGGCGUUAAGUUGCAGGGUAUAGACCCGAAACCCGGUGAUCUAGCCAUGGGCAGGUUGAAGGUUGGGUAACACUAACUGGAGGACCGAACCGACUAAUGUUGAAAAAUUAGCGGAUGACCUGUGGCUGGGGGUGAAAGGCCAAUCAAACCGGGAGAUAGCUGGUUCUCCCCGAAAGCUAUUUAGGUAGCGCCUCGUGAAUUCAUCUCCGGGGGUAGAGCACUGUUUCGGCUAGGGGGCCAUCCCGGCUUACCAACCCGAUGCAAACUGCGAAUACCGGAGAAUGUUAUCACGGGAGACACACGGCGGGUGCUAACGUCCGUCGUGAAGAGGGAAACAACCCAGACCGCCAGCUAAGGUCCCAAAGUCAUGGUUAAGUGGGAAACGAUGUGGGAAGGCCCAGACAGCCAGGAUGUUGGCUUAGAAGCAGCCAUCAUUUAAAGAAAGCGUAAUAGCUCACUGGUCGAGUCGGCCUGCGCGGAAGAUGUAACGGGGCUAAACCAUGCACCGAAGCUGCGGCAGCGAACGUAUCACCCAAGACAACUUUACGGAGUUGACGAUUGACGGAGCGAAGCGACGUCAAAGCGUUCAUUAAAGUCGAGUUGGCUUAGGGAUACGUUCGUUGGGUAGGGGAGCGUUCUGUAAGCCUGUGAAGGUGUGUCGUGAGGCAUGCUGGAGGUAUCAGAAGUGCGAAUGCUGACAUAAGUAACGAUAAAGCGGGUGAAAAGCCCGCUCGCCGGAAGACCAAGGGUUCCUGUCCAACGUUAAUCGGGGCAGGGUGAGUCGACCCCUAAGGCGAGGCCGAAAGGCGUAGUCGAUGGGAAACGGGUUAAUAUUCCCGUACUUGGUGUUACUGCGAAGGGGGGACGGAGAAGGCUAUGUUGGCCGGGCGACGGUUGUCCCGGUUUAAGCGUGUAGGUGUGUGUUCCAGGUAAAUCCGGUUCACUUUAACACUGAGGCGUGACGACGAGGCACUACGGUGCUGAAGCAACAAAUGCCCUGCUUCCAGGAAAA